CAUUUUUAUCACUGGAGGACUCUCACGCAGAUGUUAUGUUUGCUAGCCUGAAGGUUACUCAGGUGCCUGUGAAGAGAAACAGGUGACAUGUCCUGAUGGAUUUAACAAAUGUUACAGUUCAACAGAGACUUUUUAUGACCUCUCCAGGUCUGUCACACUUA